GAACAGAAUAUCCAAACUGCUCCCACUGCCAUGAUAUGUAGCACAGUAAUAGUCAGCCUCGUCCUCAGGCUGCGGCCCAGAGAUGAGCAGAAGCCCCGCAUUGGCCGAGGCAUCUUUGGACCCAGAGAAGCGGCUUGGGACCCCCGAGUCCUGGUGCUUAUUUGAAUCUGAGUAGAACCUCAGCAGAUGCCGGGGAGAACUCCCCAGUUUCUGCUGGAACCAGUAUAUGUG